rnacentral:rRNA from 1 species
UGGGGAAUUUUGGACAAUGGGGGCAACCCUGAUCCAGCAAUGCCGCGUGUGUGAAGAAGGCCUUCGGGUUGUAAAGCACUUUUGUCCGGGAAGAAAUCGCACCUGAUAAUACCGGGUGUGGAUGACGGUACCGGAAGAAUAAGGACCUGCUAACUACGUGCCAGCAGCCGCGGUAAUACGUAGGGUCCAAGCGUUAAUCGGAAUUACUGUGCGUAAAGCGUGCGCAGGCGGUUGUGCAAGACCGAUGUGAAAUCCCCGGGCUUAACCUGGGAAUUGCAUUGGGGACUGUACGGCUAGAGUGUGUCAGAGGGGGGUAGAAUUCCACGUGUAGCAGUGAAAUGCGUAGAGAUGUGGAGGAAUACCGAUGGCGAAGGCAGCCCCCUGGGAUAACACUGACGCUCAUGCACGAAAGCGUGGGGAGCAAACAGG